GAUGGGAAAGCAGAGAGGGAAGAAACCUGGUUACUAUCACCCGAGUUCCUGAAUUAACUAACCUGGAAACCUAACUCCAGACGUCUUAUUUUGUACUAUUUAAUAAUUUUAAAUUGGGUUUUUGCUUCAGGCAACUGAAAGCACCCCAAUCCGAACUGACAGGAUUUGGAGAGUAAUAUUUGAAGAUAAGGCUGGUGGGACCAAGAAGAGAGCUUGGCAAUCCACGUGUGCCAUGUAGAAGCUGCCGUCUGGCAUAGCAGAAAGGAAAACUGAGAGGAGGAACUGCAUUCAGCAAUUCUAAUCUGACCGAUGGAGCUUAUUAUACGAAUACUUAAUAGCAUUCCAAAUACCAACAACAUUUUCUGUAUACUUCUUCUUAAGAAAUAUUUGCUUAAAACACAAACACUGAGAAUUUUUACAUGAUUUAUUUAAUAAUAAACCAAUUAAAGAUACAAAAACGUUUAGAGGCUUCCAAAAUUUAAAUUUUUGCUUAAAUACAAAUUCACUCUGUAAUAUGAAAACAUAGAACAAGAGACCUCUAAACAUGAUUUUUUUCAUCUACAAAAGUUUCUCCUUUGCUGUACUAGAAAAUUUGCAGAAAACAAUUUUUCUUGUGAAAUUAAAUGUACAUUAUUUACAGUUGAAAAGUAAUCUAAAAACUAUUUCAUUUCCGAGACUCAGAUAUAUAUGUAUAUUAUCUUUGUACGCAACCCCCCCAACUCCCAAUAAAAAAAUGAUCCAAAAUAUAAAGCAAUUAUGCUUUUAUAGCAACUGACUACUCAGCCAGAUGAGCCCAAGGUGUGGUUGCUUUCUGGGCCCUUAAGAAAGAGCCUUGACUCUUUCAGAAUGGCAGUACAUCAUUUAGCACUCAGCAAUGUAAGUUUACUGAUGGGCCACGGUACACAGUGGCCUAAAAAGUUAAUGAACACAGUAUUU